CGAGCACAAGCAAACAGAUUGCUCUUCCGAAUCCUGAAGCCAGUAUCAGGAUGUCCUUCCACAGAAAAGCGACAAUGUUUUCAUGAAUGUGGACUUUGACAAAUACUGCAUAUAUAUUAGUAGG